GCCAGGCACCGUGACACAUGCCUGUAGUCCCAGCUACUUGGGAGGCUGAGGCUGGAGAAUUGCUUGAGCCCAGGAGUUCUGGGCAGCAGUGCGCUAUGCUGAUCCGGUGUCCGCACUAAGUUCGGCAUCAAUAUGGUGACCUCCCGGGAGCGGGGGACCACCACAUUGCCUAAGGAGGGGUGAACGGGCCCAGGUUGGAAACGGAGCAGGUCAAAACUCCCGUGCUGAUCAGUAGUGGGAUCUCGCCUGUGAAUAGCCACUGCACUCCAGCCUGGGCAACAUAGCGAGACCCCCAUCUCU
rnacentral:SRP_RNA from 1 species